AUAAAGGGAAUGAAGUUCUCCCGCAGCAUAUGCUGAAACCGCUUAUUCAGGCUGAUGACUUCUGCAUU
rnacentral:ncRNA from 1 species